AAAGCACUUUCAGUUGUGAGGAAAAGUUAGUAGUUAAUACCUGCUAGCCGUGACGUUAACAACAGAAGAAGCACCGGCUAACUCCGUGCCAGCAGCCGCGGUAAUACGGAGGGUGCGAGCGUUAAUCGGAAUUACUGGGCGUAAAGCGCACGCAGGCGGUUUGUUAAGCUAGAUGUGAAAGCCCCGGGCUCAACCUGGGAUAGUCAUUUAGAACUGGCAGACUAGAGUCUUGGAGAGGGGAGUGGAAUUCCAGGUGUAGCGGUGAAAUGCGUAGAUAUCUGGAGGAACAUCAGUGGCGAAGGCGACUCCCUGGCCAAAGACUGACGCUCAUGUGCGAAAGUGUGGGUAGCGAACA
rnacentral:rRNA from 1 species